rnacentral:lncRNA from 1 species
AUUCCUGUCGGCUGCAGGGGCAGGAGAGGAAGGGACGGGCCGAGCGGGUCGGGGCUUGCCGUUUGACUGGAAUUGCCAGAAUGGCGGACCGAGCCCCACGACAACCUACCUCCCUGGGCUCCUCGCCGCAGCGCUGCGGCUCGCCUCCCUCUGCUCCUCCUCCUCCGCCGGAUCGCGGCGAGCGGAUCGAGGACUGCCUAGCGCCCCUCUGCCCACCGGUGGUUGGAGGCCGCGGCGGCUGCGCGUUGAGUCGUUUCCUGCCGGUUGACCUGAGCCUACUUCGCAGUAGCAGGACCGCUGCUGUGGAGCUGGUCGCAGGCGGUGUGUGCCGGUCGCCUAGUCAGGAGAACUAGUCCUCGACUCACGGUGAGGGAAUGGACCGACACGGGUAUUGUACCGCUGAGGGAAAGGAGCGGGACUCCGGACCUCCAGGAGGUAGGGAGUGAGGCCAGUAGGACCGGCGCGCCUCCGGGGGGAUUCCUCCCGGGCGUUGAGUUGCCAACCUGGGACCCGAGGAAGAUCGGCGUGGUGGUGUGCUUUUUGUUGUUGUUAACCCUCCUCGGAUUUCUCGAAUUUCACACCACUGUCCAUAUGCGAUGAUGUUUGUUUGCCCUUGACGCACUUACUCAUGGAUGGUACUUCUUCAGCCUCGUUAGACAGCCUGGUGAUGGAGGAUGAAGAAACCAUGUGCUUUUCAUUCAGUUCUGGACUUAGUCUCCCUUUUCUUCCUUCAGCAAGUUAUUUUUGUUAGUUCCUUAUCAAAAAGUGUACAUAAAAAUUAGGCAACUCCAAACAUGCCUCCAGGGUUAAUGUGUGAAAUAAUAAGAUAAUAUAUGUAAAGUGGAAUUAGCUCCUAGGCAUAGGGAAAGUGCAGAAUAUUGCCGUGUUGUCAUUUACAGUUCUGUUGAUGUCGAUAACGUUUGUGGGUGUAAUUGGUAGUGUUCUGUCCCUCCAAGGAGUUAAUAAAACAAAGCAAACAUAGGCCUGUUAGGUUUCUGUGGCUACUGAAUAUUUGUUUCUCAAAACACUUGACUGAUAUUUGAUAAUUGAAUGCAGCAGAAAUACGGACGAUUAAAGUCCACAAAUAAUUCCAAAGUUUACUUGAUCUAGUAGUUUUUACCUUUACCUAAAGGGUAAAGCAGAAUAAAUUACCGGAAGGAUCUACUUGGGUUUCCCUUUCCUUCACAUUUGUGGACUCCUGGGGAUCCAGGAAGUAAUUCAGAAAUGACUGUUCAAAAGCCCAUGCAAGGCCGGGCGCGGUGGCUAACGCUUGUAAUCCCAGCGCUUUGGGAGGCCAAGGUGGGCGGAUGACCUGAGGUCAGGAGUUCGAGACCAGCCUGGCCAACAUGGCAAAAUCCCGUCUCUACUAAAAAUACAAAAAUUAGCCAGGCGUGGUGGUGGACGCCUGUAAUCCCAGCUACUCAGGAGACUGAGGCAGGAGAAUCGCUUGAACCUGGGAGGCGGAGAUUGCAGUGAGCCGAGAUGGUGCCAUUGCACUCCAGCCUGGGCAACAAGAGCGAAACUCCAUCUGAGGGAAAAAAAUAAAAAUAAAAAGCCCUUGCAACCUCCAAAAUUCAAGUAGACAGUCCCAAAUUUCCCCUUUAGGAUACGUGGAUUAAGUGUUGUUUACUUGUUUCGUUUCUUUAAGGUAAAGAGGAAAGCAGCCUUAAUUACCUCAUUGUAUAUUUUCCUAACCAAGUCCCACACUUUCAUGGAGCCCACUUGUUUACCGAUCUUUUGUUAGUUGCUUCAUGCGUGCAAGUGUAUUAUGCUACCAAUAACUUGUUUUAUCUGAGAACAGGGACUAUGUCUACUACUUAAUUUACAUAAAGCAUCACAGGCUAGCGCAAAGCAAGUCACAGAAAUAUUGAAAUGAGGCUGGGUGUGGUAGCUCACGCCUGUAAUCCCAGCACUUUGGGAGGCCAAGGCGCAUGGAUCACGAGGUCACAAGUUCAAGACCAGCCUGGCCAACAUAGUGAAACCCCGUCUCUACUAAUAAUACAAAAAAUUAGCCGGGCGUGGUGGUGGGCGCCUGUAAUCCCAGCUACUCGGGAGGCUGAGGCAGGAGAAUUGCUUGAACCCGGGAGGCAGAGAUUUCAGUGAGUGGAGAUUGCACCACUGCACUCCAGCCUGGGCAACAGUGCGAGACUUUGUCUUAAAAAGAAAAAAAAAAUCCAAAAAAAAUCAGGUGGGCAUGGUGGAGCGCCUGUAGUUCCACCUACUUGGUAGGCUGAGGCAGGAGAGUCGCUUGAACCCAGGAGGGAGAGGUUGCAGUGAGUCGAGAUCACGCCUUUGCAUUCCAGCCUGGGAGACGAGAGUGAAACUCCUUCUCAAAAAAAAAAAAAAAAGAAAAAGAAAAGAAAUAUUGAAAUGAAUGUUAGAUACUUAAAAUACCAGAAGAGAAAGACAAUUAGCAUUUGUGGACUACUGUGCCAGGGGAACACGUAUUCCUGUUUAAUCCUUAUAAUAAACAACACUUUGAGGUAGAUAAUCUUACCCUCAUUUUACAAAAGAGAAGCCUGAGGCCCAGAGAAGUCCAGUAACAAUCUUUAGACUCUAGUUUGCCUGUCUUUUAAAAACCUUACUUUUUUCACUAUACCACAUUUUCUUCAAAGUAAAAUUUCUCAUCAGCAGCAUAAUUGCUGUGCUUCAAAGAAAAAAAAAUGCCUUUACUGGAAUUUCACCACACCAGUGUAUAGGGAGAGUUACUUACAUAUGGUCUCUGUGUUAAAAUAAGUUUCAUUAACUACACUGAUCAAUGAAUUAUCAGCUACAUACAAGCAAAUGAGAUACGAUUCUGUUUUUUCAUGUAUGCCCCAGAGCCAACUAGAGACUAAAAUAUAUUAAGUGCUCAAUAAAAUGACCUCACUGAAUGAACAAACCCUGAAUUAUUUGAACCAAUGAAGAUAGAAUAAUGGUUUCCCCAAGGAUAUCCACUUCUUAAUCCCUAAAACCUGUAAAUAUGAUAUGUUACAUGACCAGGGAAAAUUCAGGAUGCAGAGGGAAUUAAGGUUGCUAAUCAGCUGACAUUAAACUAGGGAGAUUAUCCAGGAGUGAGCUCUCUGCAAUGGCCCUCUUCAGUUUUACUUCUGUAGCUGCCCAUGCUUGUGUUCCUUUUCAGAAAGACAAUAAUGGAAAAGCAUGUAAGCUGCCAGCACCACAGCACCACCGUCGAAGCUCCCUUUCUUCAAAUUGGAGUGCUUGUCAUAAUACCUGUAGUAACCUCUCUGAACGCUCCAACAGUGCCUUCUUGUGUGAGAUCACACGUUAAUAUUUAGUUUGGCAGUUCUGCUAGUUUGACAUCCAGGAGUUUCUUCUCCUUCACUGGUACAGCCGACUCCAUCUUGGGGUCCUGGUCUGAUAAAAACUUUUAAAAUGAGGUUUCAGGCUGGGCGCAGUGGCUCAUGCCUAUAAAUCCCAACACUUUGGGCGACUGAGGCAGGAGGAUUACUUGAGGCCAGGAGUUCAAGACCAGCCUGGUUAACAUAGCAAGACCCCCAUCUCUACAAAAAAUAAGAAAAAUUAGCCAGGCCAUGGUGGCAUGUCCAGGAGUUUGAGGCUACCGUGAGCCAUGAUCACACACCACUGCACUCCAGCCUGGGCAAGAGAGUGAAACUCUGUCUCUAAAAUGUAAAACAAAAUAAAGUUAAUUUUUUUUUUUUUAUUCUUGAGACAGAGUUUCACUCUUGUUACCCAGGCUGGAGUGCAAUGGCGUGAUCUCGGCUUACUGCAACCUCCGCCUCCCGGGUUCAAGCAAUUCUCCUGCCUCAGCUUCCCAAGCAGCUAGGAUUACAAGCAUGUGCCACCACGCCUGGCUAAUUUUGUAUUUUUAGUAGAGAUGGGGUUUCUCCAUGUUUGUCAGGCUGCUCUUGAACUCCCGACCUCAGGUGAUCCGCCCGUCUCGGCCUCCCAAAGUGCUGGGAUUACAGGUGUGAGCCACCACACCCGGCCAGGUUAAAAUAUUAACCUGCUCUUACUAUGUUGCCUAGGCUGCAGACUAGCUCCCAUGCUCAAGGGAUCCUACCGCUGCCUCAGCCUCCUCGGUAGCCGGGACUACUGUUGGGCAGGAACUUGUUUUUUCUAAGAUAAAAUUUACUGAAGUAUGGUCAGGGUUGACUUUACAUUUGACGAGUUAUGGUAAAUGCUAUGUAAUCAUAAGAGUUGGUUUUUUUUUUUUCCCCACAGAGUCUUGCUCUGUCACCCAGGUUGCAGAGCAGUGGAGCAAUCUCAACUCACUGCAACCUCUGCCUCCCGGGUUCAAGUGAUUCUCCCGCCUCAGCCUCCUGAGUAGCUAGGACUACAGGUGUGUGUCACCACGCCUGUCUAAUUUGGCUAAUUUUUGUAAUUUUUUUUUUUUUUUUUUUUUGAGACGGAGUCUCGUUCUGUCGCCCAGGCGGGAGUGCUGUGGCGCGAUCUCCGCUCACUGCAAGCUCCGCCUAACGGGUUCACGCCAUUCUCCUGCCUCAGCCUCCCGAGUAGCUGGGACUACAGGCGCCCGCCACUGCGCCCGGCUAAUUUUUUUGUAUUUUUAGUAGAGACGGGGUUUCACCGUGGUCUCGAUCUCCUGACCUCGUGAUCCGCCCGCCUCGGCCUCCCAAAGUGCUGGGAUUACAGGCGUGAGCCACCGCGCCCGGCCUAAUUUUUGUAUUUUUAAUAGAGACAGCGUUUCGCCAUGUUGGCCAGGCUGGUCUUGAACUCCUGGCCUUAGGUGAUCCACCCGUCUUGGCCUCCCAAGUUCCUGGGAUUUAGGCAUGAGCCACUGUGCCUCGCCAAGAGCCAUUAAAAAUAUUGGCUGGGCGUGGUGGCUCAUGCCUGUAACCCCACACUUUGGGAGGCCAAGGCAGGUGGAUCACCUGAUGCCAGAAGUUCGAGACCAGCCUGGCCAACAUGAUGAAACCCCGUCUCAACUAAAAAUACAAAAAAAUCAGCUGGGCAUGGUGGUGGGCGCGUGUAAUCCCACCUACUUUGGGAGGCUGAGGCAGGAGCAUCACUUGAACCCAGCAGGUAGAGGUUGCAGUGAGCGGAGAUUGCACCAUUACACUCCUGCCUGGGCAACAAGAGCGAAACCCUGUCUGAACAAAAAAAAAAAUUAUUUAUUUUAUUUUAUUUUAUUUUAUUUUAUUUUAUUUUUUUUGAGACGGAGUCUCACUCUAUUGCCCAGGCUGGAGUGCAGUGUCACGAUCUGGGCUCACUGCAACCUCCGCCUCUUGGGUUCAAGCGGUUCUCCUGCCUCAUCCUCCCAAGUAGCUGGGAUUACAGGUGCCCGCCACUGUGCCCAGCUAAUUUUCGUAGUUUUAGUAGAGAUGGGGUUUUACCAUCUUGGCCAGGCUGGUCUUGAACUCCUGACCUUGUGAUCCACCCACUUCAGCUUCCCAGAGUGCUGAGAUUACAGGCAUGAGCCACCGCGCCCAGCCAAAAAAAAUUUUUAUUUAAGACGGAAGAAAUUUGAGAUUUUUGUUUGGGUACAGGUUGAGUUUUUUUUGUUUGUUUUUUGAGAUGCGGUCUCACUCUGUUGCCCAGGCUGGAGUGCAGUGGUGUGAUCUCAGCUCACUGCAACUUCCGCCUCCCGGAUUCAAGUGAUUCUCCUGCUUCAGCCUCCUGAGUAGCUGGGAUUACAGAUGCUCGCCACCACACCUGACUAAUUUUUUGUGUUUUUAGUAGAGACAGGAUUUCACUAUGUUGGCCAGGCUGGUCUCAAACUCCUGACCUUGUGAUCCACCCGCCUCAGUCUCCCAAAGUGCUGGGAUUACAGGCAUGAUCCACUGCACCCAGCCAGUUUUUUUGUUUUGUUUUGUUUUGUUUACGAAAAUGUUUGGGAACAAAAAUGUUUUGAAUUUGAGAUUUGAGCUACUGCCCCCGGCCUUUUUUUCUUUUUCUUUUUCUUUUUCUUUUUCUUUUUUUUUUUUGAGAAGGAGUCUCACUGUGUUGCCCAGGCUAGAAUGCAGUGGUGCAGUCUUGGCUCACUGCAACCUGCAUCUCCCGGGUUCAAGUGAUUCUCCUCCUGCCUCAGCCUCCUGAGUAGCUGAGAUUCCAGGCACCCACCACCAUACCCAGCUAAGUUUUGUAUUUUAGUAGAGCCGGGGUUUCAGCAUGUUGGUCAGGCUGGUCUUGAACUCCUGACCUCAAAUGUUCCACCUGCCUCGGCCUCCCAAGGGUUUUUUAUUUUUAUUUAUUUAUUUAUUUAUAUUUUGAAACAGAGUCUUGCACUGUCACCCAGGCUGGAGUGCAGUAGCGCGAUCUCAGCUCACUGCAAGUUCCACCUCCCGGGUUGAAGCCAUUCUCCUGCCUCAGCCUCCUGAGUAGCUGGGACUACAGGCGCCCGCCACCACGCCCAGCUAAUUUUUUGUAUUUUUAGUGGAGACAGGGUUUCACCAUGUUAGCCAGGGUGGUCUCGAUCUCCUGACCUCAUGAUCCGCCCAUCUCGGCCUCCCAAAGUGCUGGGAUUACAGGCGUGAGCCACUGCGCCCGGUCUUUUUUUUUUUUUUUUUUUUUGAGACAGAUUCUCGCACUGUCACCCAGGCUGGAGUGCAAUGGCGCAAUCUCAGCUCACUGCAACCUCCCCCUCCCGGGUUCAAGCAAUUCUACUGCCGCAGCCUCCCGAGUAGCUGGGAUUACAGGUGCCCGCCACCACGCCUGACUAAUUUUUUGUAUUUUUAGUACAGACAGGAUUUCACUAUGUUGGCCAGGCUGUUCUCAAACUCCUGGCCUUGUGAUCUACCCUCCUCAAUCUCCCAAAGUGCUGAGAUUACAAGCAUGAUCCACUGCACCCGGCCAGUUGUUUUUUUUGGUUUUUUUGUUUUUUUAGGUUUUUUUUACGAAAAUGUUUGGGAACAGAAAUGUUGUGGAUUUGAGAUUUUGUUGGAUUUUGGAAUAUUUGUAUUAUACCUACUGUUUGAACAUCCCAAGUUUGAAAAUCUGAAACCUUAAGUGUUAACAUGAGCACCUUAAUAAAGUUUGGACAGUAUUUCUUUUAUAAACAAUAUUAUUGAUAUUGCUAACUAUUAACAUUAGAAAUGAAAGUCGAGAAAGAUAAUUACCUGGAACGUUAGUACCCAGAAAUACCCAAUUGUGUUGGUAUUUGUUUUAAGUUUUCAUUUUUAUGCAUCUCCACCUCAGAACCAUAAUCUAAAUUUACAGUUGAAUUCAUUUCAAUACCUCAGUGGUGUACCAUUGAGUCCUAAAAUUCUAGAAUGUUAAUCCCAGUCAUGUGUGUACACUAACAUGCCUUUUUUGAAGUCUUUUGAAACCUAUCAGAUACAGUGUGGAGUCCAUUUUGCUGAAGAGUAUCUAGAAUAUCUGCUACCCUAAGAAGCAGUCAUAGUCCCUUCCAUAGUAGUUUAAGUUUUAAAUUGUCCACUGUUCUGAGUAACGUGAUGAAAUUUUGCACCACCCUGUCCUGGAUAUGAAUCAACAUAACCACGCUGUACGUGCUCCCAUUGGUCAGUCAUUGACAUCAUCGGCUUUUGACAUCCAUCUGUGGACAUCAGCAUGACUCAGUGAUUCAGGAUCACCCUAAGAUGAUCCCCCUUCUUAGGUAUAGUCAGAAGGUUGAUAUUAGCUACAUCAGAAUUCCUAAGUCAUUCACUUUAUCUUAUCUUAUAAGCGUUUUAUCAUCUCACUUCAACACAAGAAGGGUGAGCACGGUACUAUGAGAUAUUUUGAGAAUGAGCGAGACCAUGUUCACAUAACUUUUGUAUGGUAUAUUGUUCCGUUUUCUUAUUGGUUAUUGCUGUUCAUUUGUUACUGUGCCAGAUUUAUAAAUUAAACUUGAUUAUAGGUAUAUACCUAUAGGAAAAAACUGUGUGUGUGUGUUUGUGUGUGUGUUUAUUUAUUUAGUGAUCAGUACUCUGUAUGGUUUCAGGCAUCCCCUGGGAAUCCUGCAGUGGGAUCUCCCGAGGAUAAGGGUGGACUACUGUAUUUCCUUCCUUCUUGCUUUCUUCAUUGCAGAAGAGCUAAUGCAGCUUUAAAAGCUGGGGAGCUUUAAAAAGUGUAUAUUGUAUCAUCACUUGCACUGUUAUCAGAAUUGUAAACCACAUGCAUUAUUUCUAGCAAAAACACCUAUAGCUACAAGACUGAGGUUGGCCGGACACAAUGCUCACAUGUAUAAUCCCAGCACUUUAUGGGAGGCCAAAGUGGGAGAAUUGCUUCAGGCCAGGAGCUGAAGACCAGCCUGGCAACAUAGCCCCAUCUCUAUAAAAAAGUAAAAAUUAGCCAGUCAUGGUGGUACAUGCCUAUAGUCCAAGCUUGUCGAACCUGUGGCCCAUGGGCUGCAUACAACCCAGGACGGCUUUGAAUAGGGCCCAACACAAAUUGAUAAACUUUCUUAAAACAUUAAGAGCCUUUUUUUUCUGUGAUUUCAUUGUUGUUGUUGCUAUUUUAGCUCAUCAGCUGUUGUUAGUGUUGGUGUGUUUUAUGUGUGGCUCAAGACAAUUCUUUCGACGUGGCCCAGGAAAGCCAAGAUUGGAC